GACGGAGGAUGCAAGCGUUAUCCGGAAUGAUUGGGCGUAAAGCGUCCGCAGGUGGCAGUUCAAGUCUGCUGUCAAAGACCGGGGCUUAACUUCGGAAAGGCAGUGGAAACUGAACAGCUAGAGUAUGGUAGGGGCAGAGGGAAUUCCUGGUGUAGCGGUGAAAUGCGUAGAGAUCAGGAAGAACACCAGUGGCGAAGGCGGUUAGCUGGGCAGUUGCUGACACUGAUGCGCGACAGCGUGGGGAGCAAACAGG
rnacentral:rRNA from 1 species